GACGAACCGUGCGAACGUUGUUCGGAAUCACUGGGCUUAAAGGGCGCGUAGGCGGCCGUCCGAGUCCGGGGAUGAAAUCUUUCGGCCUAACCGGAAAAGGGCCCUGGAUACUGGACGGCUCGAGGGGGGUAGGGGCAAGCGGAACUCCGGUGGAGCGGUGAAAUUCGUAGAUAUUCGCAAGAACACCAGUGGCGAAGGCGGCUCACUGGCCCGGUACUGACGCUGAGGUGCGAAAGCGUGGGGAGCAAACAGGG
rnacentral:rRNA from 1 species